rnacentral:rRNA from 1 species
CCUACGGGAGGCAGCAGUAGGGAAUAUUGCUCAAUGGGGGAAACCCUGAAGCAGCAACGCCGCGUGGAGGAUGAAGGUUUUCGGAUUGUAAACUCCUUUUGUUAGAGAAGAUAAUGACGGUAUCUAACGAAUAAGCACCGGCUAACUCCGUGCCAGCAGCCGCGGUAAUACGGAGGGUGCAAGCGUUACUCGGAAUCACUGGGCGUAAAGGGCGCGUAGGCGGGAUAGCAAGUCAGAUGUGAAAUCCUAUGGCUUAACCAUAGAACUGCAUUUGAAACUGUUAUUCUAGAGUAUGGGAGAGGUAGGUGGAAUUCUUGGUGUAGGGGUAAAAUCCGUAGAGAUCAAGAGGAAUACUCAUUGCGAAGGCGGCCUGCUAGAACAUAACUGACGCUGAUGCGCGAAAGCGUGGGGAGCAAACAGGAUUAGAUACCCCAGUAGUC